GAAACUCUCGCAAAGCCCCAUUGUCCUGUCGGUUUGAGUUAUACCUAACGUCUCAGGCUAUGUUGAGAGUCUUCUGCCACGGGCGUCAUAGCUGCGUCUUCCAGAGCAACCGCUGUGCAACGAGCGGUUGGCUGCAGUGACAUCAUGCUGUCUCUGAUGUUGCUGUCGACGAUAAGUAACCGGCUAUCUGUGGAUUUCUCUGUCGAUAUCAAUUAUCCCCAGCACUUUGCAUUCUGGGUGAGUUGAGGUGUCGACAGCUGCAUUAGUUAGGCACAUAACCUUGCAUGUGUCAAUUCUAACCGCCCAGUCACAUUGAUUUGGAUACACAGCUAUUCAUAGAGAAAGGCUGAUUUUCUCUCGGGCUCUCUCUCUCCCUCUCAGUGACGGGUCAGCCAUCCCCACGCGCAAAGAUAGAACAUGUUGAUUGGGUCAAGUAUGGCCUGAGAUGGAGGGGGGACGAGGGAGAAAGAUCUCUCAUGGCUUAAAUUUUCAACUUGGUAAAUUGUCUUUCUCCAGUGAACUUGAAUGAACAUGUCCGCCAUGAUAGAUAUUAUGGGUGAUUACUCUAAGGGUGCUCUGCAUGACGAUAAAAGAAUUGGUAUUUCCAGACUUUGAACAGGGUGUGAGAGCUUCAAGUGAUAUCAUUUCAUGCUGCAGUGUUGCGUUUUUAGGGAAAUGGUCCUGGGGGUGAGCAGAUGAAUACGCAGUCUUAUAAUCAAUAAACGGAUC
rnacentral:sRNA from 1 species